CCGCGUGAGUGAUGAAGGUUUUCGGAUCGUAAAACUCUGUUGUUAGGGAAGAACAAGUACCGGAGUAACUGCCGGUACCUUGACGGUACCUAACCAGAAAGCCACGGCUAACUACGUGCCAGCAGCCGCGGUAAUACGUAGGUGGCAAGCGUUGUCCGGAAUUAUUGGGCGUAAAGCGCGCGCAGGCGGUUCCUUAAGUCUGAUGUGAAAGCCCCCGGCUCAACCGGGGAGGGUCAUUGGAAACUGGGGAACUUGAGUGCAGAAGAGAAGAGUGGAAUUCCACGUGUAGCGGUGAAAUGCGUAGAGAUGUGGAGGAACACCAGUGGCGAAGGCGACUCUUUGGUCUGUAACUGACGCUGAGGCGCGAAAGCGUGGGGAGCAAACAGGAUUAGAUACCCUGGUAGUCCACGCCGUAAACGAUGAGUGCUAAGUGUUAGAGGGUUUCCGCCCUUUAGUGCUGCAGCAAACGCAUUAAGCACUCCGCCUGGGGAGUACGGCCGCAAGGCUGAAA
rnacentral:rRNA from 1 species